GGAGCAGUAACAUAAAUUAAGAAGGGCUGCAGAAUACUAGUAACAGAGGAUGGGAUCCACCAGUUGUCCCACGGCAGUAGUCAGAGGUAUUCCUACUUUUGCAAUUGAGCACCUGUGUUCAGGCCAGGAAGAGGAGCUGGGUGAGAAGGCACAUUAUGCACUGAAGAUUUUAUCUCUGCAAAAUCCGGCGUGAUCCUCUCUUGUGAGGCUGCACCUUGGUACCUGGCUUGUGUGCUCUGGUGAGAGAGAGGCAACUGUUUGUCUAAGAAGAUACAGAACCAAAGGCAUGUACGAAUUCACAAGACAGGAGUUUUAUGUGGGUCCCGAAGGAGCAAGGGACACGGCUGCACGGCAUCUGAUAGCCUGAGAGAAGUAGAAAGCCCAUACUGUGAACGUGCCAGAGGGAUAGGAUAGCCUUUUCACAGAGACAAAAGCAAGGUUGUUGAUGAAAUACCUGCGUUUUGUGAAAAAUAAAUUUUAAAACUGCA